rnacentral:tRNA from 1 species
UGGUGCAUAGCUCAAUUGGAUAGAGCGCGCGGCUACGAACCGCGAGGUUGGGGGUUCGAUUCCCUCUGUGCCAGCGA